AUCGCUUCUCGGCCUUUUGGCUAAGAUCAAGUGUAGUAAAUUAGGUGAAGUUAAAUUAAACGAACAUUUCCCAAAUCAUUCUGCUAGUGUUUCAUUGGUUAAUGCCAAAUGCAAACUGCUAUUUCAAAAUACAGUUUACGAAUG
ensembl:snRNA U2 U2 spliceosomal RNA